UACGGGGGGAGCAAGCGUUGUUCGGAUUUACUGGGCGUAAAGGGCGCGUAGGCGGCCACCGCAAGUCAAUUGUGAAAUCUCCGGGCUUAACUCGGAAAGGUCAACUGAUACUGCGGGGCUAGAGUGCGGAAGGGGCAACUGGAAUUCCUGGUGUAGCGGUGAAAUGCGCAGAUAUCAGGAGGAACACCGAUGGCGAAGGCAGGUCUCUGGGCAUUAACUGACGCUGAGGAGCGAAAGCAUGGGGAGCGAACAGG
rnacentral:rRNA from 1 species